GUUUUUAAAUUGCAAGAUGAAACAAAGGGUAGAUAAUGAUGACAGUAAUUUUAAUAGAAAGACAGAUCUAGAAGACCAUCAAUGCAAACUACUGGGAUUUCAUUAUAGGUAAUCUGACAGAAUAUCCUUAGAAUACAUCUGCUUGCAGCUGCUAUAUUUGUAAGAAUGCAUAGAAUAAGGAACAUUUUAAGGUCAGCAACACAAACAUGUAUUUGUGUUGUGUUAAAACCGUUUAGCUGGCUUUUCCCCUUAGAAGAGGUUUAAACCUACCUUAUUUCCAAGGCCGUGCAGGUCUGCUGUCGCUGCCCCGAUUCGCCUCCUUGGUGGCAUCAUUAGAAUUGCAGAUUUUUAGCCAAUCCAAUGCUUUCCCAUACGGAAAGCAUUGGAUUGACUGAAAUCAGCAAGGAGGCGGGGCCAAACACUGUUUUGGCCAAUCAGCACCUCCUCAUAGAGAUGCAUUGAGUAAAUGCAUCUCUAUGAGGAAAUUCAGUGUCUUCAUGCAGCACUACCCCAGGGAGCACCUCCAGUGGUCAUCUGAGGAGUGACCACUGGAAGUAUCCCUAGUGGCAAUGUAAAUACUGCCUGUUCGCUGAAAAGGCAGUGUUUGCAUGAAAAUGCCUGAAAGGGAAGGAUUAUACUCACCAGAACAACUACAUUAAGUUGUUGUUGGUAUGGUGACUAUAGUGUCCAUUUCUAUUAUCUAUUGAUCCAGUCUCUAAAUCAAAUAUAUUUUUGUUCUUUUUUGUUCAGUGUGAGGAAAUACACACUAAGUACAUAUGCACUCAUUAUAAAGGAUAAAGCAAAGAAAGAAUUGUUCUCGGUUAAAAUAUAGCACAGGGUGAUCCAAGACUCACAACGUAAACAGCAACAACGGCAAAAACAAAAGGAAAUAAUUCAACUGAUCAUAAAAAGUGUUACCUUCAAGCAGUAUCUGAAAAACCGAGAAAAAAGCCUCAAACAUUUCCGCUUAGUAGCAUUUUGCCAUUGUUGAGAUUUAC